GAAAUGCGAUAAGUAAUGUGAUUUGCAGAAUUCAGUGAAUCAUCGAAUCUUUGAACGCACAUUGCGCCCGCCAGUAUUCUGGCGGGCAUGCCUGUUCGAGCGUCAUUUCAACCAUCAAGCCCCGGGCUUGUGUUGGGGACCUGCGGCUGCCGCAGGCCCUGAAAAGCAGUGGCGGGCUCGCUGUCACACCGAGCGUAGUAGCAUACAUCUCGCUCUGGGCGUGCUGCGGGUUCCGGCCGUUAAACCACCUUCGUAACCCAAGGUUGACCUCGGAUCAGGUAGGAAGACCCGCUGAACUUAAGC
rnacentral:misc_RNA from 1 species